AUUGAACGCUGGCGGAAGGCCUAACACAUGCAAGUCGAACGAGUGGCGGACGGGUGAGUAAUGUCUGGGAAACUGCCAGAUGGAGGGGGAUAACUACUGGAAACGGUAGCUAAUACCGCAUACACUCGGAUGUGCACAGAUGGGAUUAGCUAGUAGGUGGGUUAACGGCUCACCUAGGCCACGAUCCCUAGCUGGUCUGAGAGGAUGACCAGCCACACUGGAACUGAGACACGGUCCAGACUCCUACGGGAGGCAGCAGUGGGGAAUAUUGCACAAUGGGCGCAAGCCUGAUGCAGCCAUGCCGCGUGUAUGAAGAAGGCCUUCGGGUUGUAAAGUACUUUCAGCGGGGAGGCGUUACCCGCAGAAGAAGCACUGGCUAACUCCGUGCCAGCAGCCGCGGUAAUUC
rnacentral:rRNA from 1 species